rnacentral:rRNA from 1 species
GACGAACGCUGGCGGCGUGCCUAAUACAUGCAAGUCGAAGCUCGUUGCGAACGGGUGAGUAACGCGUAGGAACCUUCCUCAUAGCGGGGGAUUACCUUUUGAAACGAUAGCUAAUACCGCAUUCUUUUAGCUGGACGUGCUUUGUAUUAGCUAGUUGGUGGGGUAAAGGUUCACCAAGGCGACGAUCCAUAGCCGGCCUGUGAGGGUGAUCGGCCACACUGGGACUGAGACACGGCCCAGACUCCUACGGGAGGCAGCAGUGGGGAAUUUUGGACAAUGGGGGAAACCCUGAUCCAGCCAUGCCGCGUGUGCGAUGAAGGCCUUCGGGUUGUAAAGCACUUUUGGCAGGAAAGCGGUACCUGCAGAAUAAGCACCGGCUAACUACGUGCCAGCAGCCGCGGUAAUUC